rnacentral:rRNA from 1 species
GAACGGGUGAGUAACGUGAGCAAUCUGCCCCUGACUCUGGGAUAACGCUGGAAACGGCUAAUACCGGAUACGAGCUGCGAAGGCUUCAGCUGGAAAGAACUUCGGUCAGGGAUGAGCUCGCGGCCUAUCAGCUAGUUGGUGAGGUAAUGGCUCACCAGGCGUCGACGGGUAGCCGGCCUGAGAGGGUGACCGGCCACACUGGGACUGAGACACGGCCCAGACUCCUACGGGAGGCAGCAGUGGGGAAUAUUGCACAAUGGGCGCAAGCCUGAUGCAGCAACGCCGCGUGAGGGACGACGGCCUUCGGGUUGUAAACCUCUUUUAGCAGGGAAGAAGGACGGUACCUGCAGAAAAAGCGCCGGCU